rnacentral:rRNA from 1 species
UACGAAGGGGGCUAGCGUUGUUCGGAAUUACUGGGCGUAAAGCGUAUGCAGGCGGACUUUUAAGUCGGGGUGAAAUCCCGAGGCUCAACCUCGGAACUGCCUUCGAUACUGGAAGUCUUGAGUCCGGAGAGGUGAGUGGAACUCCGAGUGUAGAGGUGAAAUUGAUAGAUAUUCGCAAGAACACCAGUGGCGAAGGCGGCUCACUGGCCCGGUACUGACGCUGAGGUGGCGAAAGCGUGGGGAGCAACAG